rnacentral:rRNA from 1 species
UACGGGGGGAGCAAGCGGUGUUCGGAUUUACUGGGCGUAAAGGGCGCGUAGGCGGCCACCGCAAGUCGACUGUGAAAUCUCCGGGCUUAACCCGGAAAGGUCAGCCGAUACUGCGGGGCUAGAGUGCAGAAGGGGCAACUGGAAUUCUCGGUGUAGCGGUGAAAUGCGUAGAUAUCGAGAGGAACACCUGCGGCGAAGGCGGGUUGCUGGGCUGACACUGACGCUGAUGCGCGAAAGCUAGGGGAGCGAACGGG